CUAUAUCACUUUGAAAUACCGGUUCCUUUACGAUCACCGAAGUUAAGCAACAUCAAGUCUGGUCAGUACCUAGAUGAAUGACCACUUGCGAAUACGAGAUGUUGUCAG